rnacentral:rRNA from 1 species
ACCUGACAGCUCCUUACAUUCGCUGUUCGCCCGGGAACUACGAGCGUAAGCUUAAAACCCAAAGGACUUGACGGUGCUUUAUAUCCCCCUAGAGGAGCCUGUCCUAGAACCGAUAAUCCCCGUUAAACCUCACCUUUUCUUGCUUAUUCCGCCUAUAUACCGCCGUCUCCAGUCUACCCUGUAAAGGACCCAUAGUAGGCGAAAUUGGUACAGCCCCAGACGACAGGUCGAGGUGUAGCGUAUGAAAAGGGAAGAGAUGGGCUACAUUCAGUGACAGCACUGAAUACGGAGAGUUGAUUGAAAUAUUGACUUGAAGGUGGAUUUAGCAGUAAGCGGGG